GCUUACGGCCAUACCACCUUAGGCACGCCCGAUCUCGUCUGAUCUCGGAAGCUAAGCAGGGUCGGGCCUGGUUAGUACUUGGAUGGGUGACCGCCUGGGAAGUACCAGGUGCUGUAAGCA
rnacentral:rRNA from 1 species